CCUACGGGAGGCAGCAGUGAGGAAUUUUCUGCAAUGGGCGAAAGCCUGACAGAGCAAUACCGCGUGAGGGAUGAAGACUUACUGAGUUGUAAACCUCGGUGCCUUAAGGAAGAAGAUCUGACGGUACUUAAGGUGGAAAGCAUCGGCUAACUCCGUGCCAGCAGCCGCGGUAAGACGGGGGAUGCAAGUGUUAUCCGGAAUUACUGGGCGUAAAGCGUCUGCAGGUGGUUUUAUAAGUCUGCUGUUAAAUCUUGAGGCUCAACCUCAAAUCUGCAGUGGAAACUAUAAGACUUGAGUAUAGUAGGGGUAGAGGGAAUUUCCAGUGGAGCGGUGAAAUGCGUAGAUAUUGGAAAGAACACCGAUGGCGAAGGCACUCUACUGGGCUAUUACUGACACUCAGAGACGAAAGCUGGGGGAGCAAAUGGGAUUAGAUACCCCAGUAGUCCUAGCCGUAAACGAUGGAUACUCGAUGUUGGACGUAUCGACCCGUUCAGUAUCUUAGCUAACGCGUUAAGUAUCCCGCCUGGGGAGUACGCUCGCAAGAGUGAAACUUAAAAUGAAAUUGACGG
rnacentral:rRNA from 1 species